UACGUACGGGGCUAGCGUUGUCCGGAAUCAUUGGGCGUAAAGCGCGUGUAGGCGGCCCGGUAAGUCCGCUGUGAAAGUCGGGGGCUCAACCCUCGGAUGCCGGUGGAUACUGUCGGGCUCGAGUACGGAAGAGGCGAGUGGAAUUCCUGGUGUAGCGGUGAAAUGCGUAGAUAUCAGGAGGAACACCGGUGGCGAAGGCGCUCAUCUGGCCCAAUACUGACGCUGAGGCGCGAAAGCUAGGGGAGCAAACGGG
rnacentral:rRNA from 1 species